UACGGAGGUGGCAAGCGUUGUUCGGAAUUACUGGGCGUAAAGGGCGCGUAGGCGGGGAGGUAAGUCGGGUGUGAAAUCCCUCGGCUCAACCGAGGAACUGCGCUCGAGACUGCUUCUCUUGAGUCCCGGAGAGGAAGGUGGAAUUCCCGGUGUAGCGGUGAAAUGUGUAGAGAUCGGGAGGAACACCGGUGGCGAAGGCGGCCUUCUGGACGGUGACUGACGCUGAGGCGCGAAAGCGUGGGGAGCAAACGGG
rnacentral:rRNA from 1 species